UACCUUGUGUAGAAACCGACCUCUCUCCCACUGCGUUAAACCGCCAAGGCCGAAAACUCGGACAAUGAACACUUACGGCCCCGUGAGGGAGCCGUCACGUGCCCUAUCCAACCCUCUCCUCGUCCGUACAACAGUGAGCAGUCGUCGACUUUCCCCCUGAAAAACCUAACGAAGUUGAACUUCGAGCCUAGCCGACUUCGUCGCCAUCGAUCGAGCGGACGUCUGCCACCUCAAGGGGAAGGAAGUCUGGUCUGGGCUUUUGGAUAUUCAAUUCUGCUCAGUUCAGGACCUAAGGUUGAUGGGUUUGAGUUGUUAUGAUCAAAUACACAUAUUUUUUGGCAUUCUUGGUGGUGGAAUAUCUUAGCCAUGCAGAGCUUGUGAUUUGGAAGCUUCUGUUCCAGAGGCUGGUGAUGGAGGUUUAUGCUUUGUCAUGUCCCAUGGGUUUUGGAAUUGGAAAUGUAAAGCAGAAAUCUUGAAGGUGUUAAAGUAGAAUUGUCUUUCCUCAUUUUGAUCAGAGAUUUUCCACCAACACCAGGGUGAAUCAACCCGUUUGAAAGCAGAAAUCUCUUCUUCCAGCACUUGUUUUUCUUGAAAUUGGCAACACGCAUAAACAAUCACUCAGGGAACUCUGCCUGCACCAAUCCUCAGUUACUGGCUGAAAAUGGUCAUACUCAGAAUAAGGCCAAUCUGUGUUCUGCAUCUCUUGAAAAUAAAAGGAUUCUGAUUCUAGUGCGGCAUCGUCACAACUUUGUGAAAGAAAGUCCUGUUUGCAUCCUUCAACACAUCAUCUGGAUCAAUAUGGCUGUACCCAUAUGGACACUGGGUCCUUCAUCAUCAUGUCUGCAUAAGCUGUUGAAUCUACAUGCACCGCCGCCUGUAUAUUCCAAGAGCGAGGUGCAGAUAUUUGAAGGCAUGUAAGACAAAGUAGACCAAAGCCAUGGACCACCUUCCCACAGUUGAGCUAGUACUUUUAUGGUACACAUGGUAUCUAAAAACUCCAUCAUACUCAAUAAGCAGAAUUAGGAGAAUCCAAUGGGAAAUUUGUGUUUUACAGCACGAAAUUCCCGUCACGUUGCAAGGUAAGCUGGAAUCUCCCUCUUGAGUGAGUUGUUUCCUUAUAUCGCGCAAAGAGUAUGGUUUCUUGAUUUAGACUCUCAGUAGGAAAGAUUGUGUCAGUUGGCUGAUCAAAACUCUCCCACAAACUGAUUGAUUCAAGGUUAGCCAGCACAAAAUUUCCUGUGUCAAGCAUGGCUGCAUGGGCAACUCCAGUACCAGAAGAAUCAGCAACCCAUAUUCGUUUGCCUGUUGCAGCCUCAUUGAGCCUAAACAGUCCAUCUGCAGUGAGUUCAACUUUGGAUCCUUUUGCCACUAGAUGAUUACCAUGGCUGACCACACAAUAGGUUUUUUCUGGUAUUUUGUUAAACCAGAUGGAUAGUAAGAAGCCAUGUUUACCAAUUUUUUGGAAACCAAAAGCAAAUUCCCCAGAUUGUGAUGUCCAAAAUGAGCCAUUGUCCUCUGCAAUGAGUGAUUAUGAGUGAUGAGCCCAAUGAUUUGUUCUUUUAAAUUUGAGCAUUGGUGGAAAAUGGCAGCUGUAUAAUGAGAAGCACAAAGCAUAUGACAGUUCAAAAGACAUGGCACAUACAAAGGAGGAGCAUAUGGUGGUUAGCAAAUUCAACAAUGAUGUGUAAUAAGACCAAAAUAUAUACACACAGUUUCAAUUUCCUUUAUUAAAUAAUCAUUUCAAAAAAAAAUUUAUUGGUUUUAGCUUAACCGUGUAAGAAUAUAUACUGUUGGUGUAAGGGGUUAGGCAUGGAGGCCUUUUGGAUUAUGCCAAGUUCUUUACCAAUGUUU